rnacentral:rRNA from 1 species
UAGAGUUUGAUCAUGGCUCAGAUUGAACGCUGGCGGCAGGCCUAACACAUGCAAGUCGAGCGGAAACGAGUUAUCUGAACCUUCGGGGGACGAUAACGGCGUCGAGCGGCGGACGGGUGAGUAAUGCCUGGGAAAUUGCCCUGAUGUGGGGGAUAACCAUUGGAAACGAUGGCUAAUACCGCAUAACGCCUUCGGGCCAAAGAGGGGGACCUUCGGGCCUCUCGCGUCAGGAUAUGCCUAGGUGGGAUUAGCUAGUUGGUGAGGUAAAGGCUCACCAAGGCGACGAUCCCUAGCUGGUCUGAGAGGAUGAUCAGCCACACUGGAACUGAGACACGGUCCAGACUCCUACGGGAGGCAGCAGUGGGGAAUAUUGCACAAUGGGCGCAAGCCUGAUGCAGCCAUGCCGCGUGUGUGAAGAAGGCCAUCGGGUUGUAAAGCACUUUCAGUCGUGAGGAAGGCAGUACAGUUAAUAGCUGUAUUGUUUGACGUUAGCGACAGAAGAAGCACCGGCUAACUCCGUGCCAGCAGCCGCGGUAAUACGGAGGGUGCGAGCGUUAAUCGGAAUUACUGGGCGUAAAGCGCAUGCAGGUGGUUUGUUAAGUCAGAUGUGAAAGCCCGGGGCUCAACCUCGGAAUAGCAUUUGAAACUGGCAGACUAGAGUACUGUAGAGGGGGGUAGAAUUUCA